ACGGAAGGCAGCAGUGGGGAAUAUUGCACAAUGGGGGAAACCCUGAUGCAGCGACGCCGCGUGAGUGAAGAAGUAUUUCGGUAUGUAAAGCUCUAUCAGCAGGGAAGAAAAUGACGGUACCUGACUAAGAAGCCCCGGCUAACUACGUGCCAGCAGCCGCGGUAAUACGUAGGGGGCAAGCGUUAUCCGGAUUUACUGGGUGUAAAGGGAGCGUAGACGGCGAUGCAAGUCUGAUGUGAAAGCCCGGGGCUCAACCCCGGCACUGCAUUGGAAACUGUGUUGCUAGAGUGCAGGAGAGGCAGGCGGAAUUCCUAGUGUAGCGGUGAAAUGCGUAGAUAUUAGGAGGAACACCAGUAGCGAAGGCGGCCUGCUGGACUGUUACUGACGCUGAGGCACGAAAGCGUGGGGAGCAAACAGGAUUAGAUACCCUGGUA
rnacentral:rRNA from 1 species